rnacentral:tRNA from 1 species
ACUGGGGUGGCAAAGUCCGGUAAAUGCAAAAGGCCUAAGCCCUUUCAUCAGAGGUUCAAAUCCCCUCCCCAGCC